rnacentral:rRNA from 1 species
UUAAACGUCCAUACCACGUUGAAUACACCGGUUUACCACGUUGAAUACACCGGUUCUCGUCCGAUCACCAAAGAUAAGCAACGUUGGGCGCGGUCAGUACUUGGAUGGGUGACCGCCGGGGAACACCGCGUGACGUUGGCU